GGGCCUGUAGUUUAGUGGUUUAAAACGCACUGCUCAUAACUGUGUUAUCAAAGGUUCAACUCCUUUCAGGCUCA
rnacentral:tRNA from 1 species